rnacentral:tRNA from 1 species
GGCCCGUUGGAGAAAUGGUUAACUCAUAACCCUCUCAAGGUUACAUUCAUGGGUUCGAACCCCAUACGGGUCGCCA